AGUCCUGGUUGGCCCUUAUGGGUGAGCACCUGGAGUUCUCAGCUUUCGUGGAACAGAAGCGCCCCCUGGAUGCUUGUCUGAACUCCCCAGGUGAUCCUGAUACGGUGGUCCAGGGACGUCACCUGGGGAGACACUCGUCCGUUGAUUUGUCCUAAGAGAUUGCAAGCUGCUGAGGAAUCGGGACCCAGGAUGGGCAGAUGGCAAGGCGGAGGCACCGAGAGGGGAGGGAGCUGCCGUGCGUCAGCAGCUCCAGGAGACAGAGCCAGGAUGCGGGUCCAGGCACUUGGCUCCAUGACCUGGCGCUCACUAUCACUGCUCAGGAAAGAAGAAGAAAAAAGCAAAGACAAAGUAUGGCAACCGAAACAGAUACAGGGCAGACAUUCUUCAGACCCAUCUA
rnacentral:lncRNA from 1 species